rnacentral:rRNA from 1 species
CCUACGGGGUGCAGCAGUAGGGAAUCUUUCACAAUGGGCGAAAGCCUGAUGGAGCAACGCCGCGUGCAGGAUGAAGGCCUUCGGGUUGUAAACUGCUUUUAUAAGCGAGAAAUAUGAUGGUAACUUAUGAAUAAGGAUCGGCUAAUUACGUGCCAGCAGCCGCGGUCAUACGUAGGAUCCGAGCAUUAUCCGGAGUGACUGGGUGUAAAGAGUUGCGUAGGUGGCAUAAUAAGUAGCUAGUGAAAUCUGGUGGCUCAACCAUUCAGACUAUUAGCUAAACUGGUAAGCUCGAGACCGUUAGAGGUAGCUGGAAUUUCUAGUGUAGGAGUGAAAUCCGUAGAUAUUAGGAGGAACACCGAUAGCGUAGGCAGGUUGCUGGGACGGUUCUGACACUAAGGCACGAAAGCGUAGGGAGCAAACGGGAUUAGAUACCCUUGUAGUC